rnacentral:rRNA from 1 species
UACGUAGGAUGCGAGCGUUGUUCGGAUUUAUUGGGCGUAAAGCGUGCGUAGGCGGUUACAAAAGUCUGGUGGUAAAGCUAGGGGCUCAACCCCUGUGAUGCACUGGAAACUAUGUGACUUGAGUGCGGUAGGGGAAGGUGGAAUUCCGAGUGUAGCGGUGAAAUGCGUAGAUAUUCGGAAGAACACCGGUGGCGAAGGCGACCUUCUGGGCCGCAACUGACGCUGAGGCACGAAAGCCUGGGGAGCGAACGGG